GAUGAACGCUGGCGGCGUGCCUAAUACAUGCAAGUCGAACGGUGGAGAGCAAUCUCCAUAGUGGCGAACGGGUGAGUAACGCGUUGGUAACCUGCCCUGGAGCGUGGGAUAACAGGCCGAAAGGCUUGCUAAUACCGCAUGAGCAGUAGGGGAAUAGCAUCUUUACUGCAAAGGAAGUCGUUCGCAAGAACGGAUCCGCUCUGGGAGGGGCCUGCGCCCCAUCAGCUAGUUGGUAAGGUAACGGCUUACCAAGGCGAUGACGGGUAGGGGACCUGAGAGGGUGACCCCCCACAAUGGAACUGAAACACGGUCCAUACACCUACGGGUGGCAGCAGUAGGGAAUAUUGCAUAAUGGGCGAAAGCCUGAUGCAGCAACGCCGCGUGUGCGAUGAAGGCCUUCGGGUUGUAAAGCACUUUUGAUCGGGAAGAGGAAGGACGGUACCGGUCGAAUAAGCCUCGGCUAACUACG
rnacentral:rRNA from 1 species